rnacentral:lncRNA from 1 species
AAAAUAAAUCAAUCACCAUCUCUUCACAUUUUCUAGCCGUCACCUACCUACACACUAUAUCUCCAAUUUCAAUUAAAAUUAAACACGUGCCUCCUUCUUCCAGCAGCAGACCGUGACCCUAGGGAGCUAAUUUCCAAUUGCCAAUUCCGCAUUCGAAAAGAUGCUGAAAACGUUCCAUCCCAUCACCUACACCUAAUCCCAUCUAAUAUCCAAUAAAUAAAUAAAUAAAAAAAAGAAAAGCUAACUACCCCUAUGGUUGCCAACGUCCCAUCCAAUCACCCAUCUACCACUUGUUUGCAUUUUUCAUUCCCAAAGGAAACUAAAUUGCGCUGCUGGAAGAAAAGGAAUUGAAUCAACGCUUCAACCUCUCUACACCAAAAUGAAUGACAGCCUCCUGCUUUUAAAGAAAACAAAAAAAACGUGCUGCUAAUUGAAUGCAAAUUAAAGCCAACAAUGUUCAUGAAUUCAGCGCUGAUUAAAUGGAAGGAAAUAAAAUUUAAAAAUGCUUCCCAUUCAUCCAGUAAUCCAACACGUUCCAGCCCUCUAAUAUUCAAAGAAAAAGGUGCCAAAAAUAAAUCAACCAAAAUCCAAUACUAGGAACAUGCUUCAGAGAAAAGGAAAAGCUCCCAGCUCAUACAACUCUCGGGUCCCUCCUUUGCUAAGUGAUGGCUGGACCUUUUUAAUGGUCGUGUGACUCCAAAAUAGUUGUGGGGUCCACCCUAUAAAAGAGAAACCCUAGGCCAUGUGUCCUCUACUAUUUGGACUCAUCACAAAUUUGUCAAUAUUAACCCAAAUGUGCACAAGUUCAAUUAAAAAUAUUAUAUACUACUAAGUUACAAUAUAACUAAAUUUAAAAUGUCUAAUUUGAGAGUCUUGAAUUUAUUUUUUUCUCCUUCCCAAUGCUCCAAAAUAUAUCUCCAAAAUUUUCCCUGCAAAUAAUAAUGCAAAUAAUUAGCUCAGAAAAUUCAAAUUAAUUAAAAUUAGAAUUUCUGGUCAAAUUAAGCAUAAUUAGGAAAAACGGGAAAAUACUGGACAAUUAAGCACAAUUCCCUGAUUAAUUUCGGUACAAUAAACUAAGUGAAAUCAAUAAAAUAUUGUUUCAUCAUCAUGAACUCGGGGGAAUUCCUUGAUUAUGCUAAUACCACCUAGAGAUAGGGGUAGGACGAUCAAUUGUAUUUUGCUUCCGUUUAUCAUGCAUUAUUAGUUACUAGGGGAGGCUAGAGAUAGGGUUUAGGGUAGACUAAGAGAUUGCAUGACAAUAUGAUAAAUAAGCAAAGUAGAUAAGAAGAGUAUAUAUAAGAGGGCGGAUAAGAUGAAAUUGUAAACCCCAACAACUCCAUUCAUCCAUAGUCUUUUCUAGCCAAUUGAUUCACUGCAUUUUGCAUGUUUAUUUUCGUCCUUUGCAUACAAAACCUAAAUUUAAUUCUUUUCUCAAGUCUUAUGCGAUUGGUUUGCAUGAAAAGUAAGGCCUAAGAGUCCUUUGGGAAACGAUACUUGGACUUACCCGUUUUAUAUUACUUGACAACGAUCUGGUACACUUGUCAGGGACUUAACAAGUUUUUGGCGCCAUUGCCGGGGACUCGUGGUUUAACUUAUCUAGUAGUGUAAAUUGAUUUAAUUUGACUUGAUUGUAUAUAUUUUCUUUUUCUUUUUGUUUU